rnacentral:piRNA from 1 species
UCUAAGUGAAAGUGAGUGCUAAUAAUGGA